GUUGGGUGUGGUGGUUCAUACCUGUGGUCCCAGUUACUCAGGAGGUGGAGGUGGAAGGAUCACUUGAUUUCAGGAGUUCAAGACCAGCCUGGACAACAUAGUGAGAUUGUCUCAA
rnacentral:sRNA from 1 species